rnacentral:rRNA from 1 species
AUGAUCUCCAAAAGAAUUACUCCAAAGCUAUACACAUCGCUUUUAGAUGUUAGCUGGCAUGUUUGCAGGUAUUCGGGAUCAAGGUAUCCACAGGUACCUUGAAUUAUUGUGACAAAUUGCUCUUUGUCGGAUGGGGCUAGUAUCGAGGCUCCAAAGUCAGACACCUUGGCCAUGUGGUUCUCAUCAAGAAGAAUAUUGGAAGUUUUAACGUCACCAUGA